rnacentral:lncRNA from 1 species
CGUAUAGUUGCUAUUCAGUGACUGCAAAAAAUCAUGGUCCCAAAUUGAAGGUUGGUAGUUUGCUGAUCUCCUAUCAACUGUCAAAUUAUCAUAUUUGGUGCUGACAAGGCAUUGGACUGGCUUAUUUUUUGCCAUGAUUCUGAUGGCUGCUCUAUUUGUUGCAAGAGGAAGACAUUUGAAACCAUUUACAGAGGUAGCCAAGGUUGAGGGAUUAAUGCAAGAAGACAUUGGAUAUACAGAUGCAGUGUAAGCUAGCUUACAGGUAUACUUGGGAAGGAUUCUCAAAUUAAUCUAUGGUUUGUGGUGAUGUACAAGGUUAUAUAUAUAUAUAUAUAUAGGCAGAGAAGAAGCUCAUGUGAUUGAUUUUUCUUACUCAUUUUUUCUGAGUUUUGAAAGCGUUUAAUUUUUAAGUCUUAAUAGUACAAAGAUAUUUUAUUCUUUUUUUUGUGGGGGGGGUACAUCAUACUGUGCGAACGAGGUCAAUAUUGUACCAGAAGACACAUACAUCAUCCAUACAUUCGGAUGAAUGUUGUAUAAUCUUUUUUUAUUUAUCUUUUUUUUUCCUGCAUACAAAUUUUUUAAAGAGUCUUUCUAUAAACUACACAAUAAAUGCACGCAGAAAUAACAAGAAAUUCAUAAAUUCAAUUCUACUAAUAAAAGUUCUAUUUAUUACAUUAAAAUCUUGUUUUGUGGAGAAAUAAGAAUAUACAAACUAAGUUUAAGGAAAAAAAGGCAUACAAAGUUGCAAACAAUAUCUUAAUGUUGAGGACUAACAUCGAAAUUCUAUUUGUUACAGUUAUAAAGUACUUUUGCGGAAAACAAAUUAAUAAAUUACAAAAUGAUUAUCAACAAAAAGUAGAUUGGGCAGGUAGAUGUCAACUCAAAAGUUAGUGGGAGCAGAUUUCCGGGCUAUAUAGUACAAAUGUAUGUAUCUACUGUCUAAAUAGAUAAUGGAUUUUAAUGUAUCGGUAGAUUGUGAUAAUUUGUACAAAUUUCAGAAAACUUCCAUUUAACAACGGUUGCUGAAAGUGUGUUGUAAAAUAAUUUUAAUAUUUGACAACAAACGAAAGAAUGUUGUCAUAAACUCUUCAAUGGGCUUUCAAUUUCACAACGUCCUACAAAAGCGCGUUGUGAAAAAAAUUCUAAUAAAUGACAAUAGGUGUAAAAUCGUUAUAAAUUUUCAACUCAUCCAAUUCAUGAAUUAAUGAAAUUAAUCCAAAUUUAAUUCAUAACUCUAAGAAUUAGAUGUGGAUUUGACAUAAUUUAUAUCCCAUUGCACUUUUGCGAAUUCGAUAUCAAUUAAAAAAAAAUUCUUUCUAUCCAUUCAUAAAAUAAUUAAAUAAAUAUUUUAAUACAAAAAUAAUUUUAUUACCAAUCAAAUUCAAAUUUAAAAAUAUUAAAUAAAUCAAUAGUUUAAGUACUUGUUUAGGAACGCGAUAUAUCACCCAGCAUCUGUUAAAUCAAUCAACGUACGUUCCUAAAGAAGCAUAAUUUUGAAGCCAUAUACCAUUUCAUCUUUACUCCCUAUUCUUUCUUUAAAAAAACUAUGAAAACGCUGGAGUAAUUGGUUUCAACUUCCGUGUAGGAUAGAUGGGACGUGAUGACACGUAACGACCACUUCUGAAAAACCAUUUGUUUUUUAAGGAUGCCAUUCAAAGUUUCGAACUUUAGCCCACCAAAAGAAAAAAUCUUGAUGUUUUAGAUCAAUGAAUGAAAACUAACUUAAAUUUUAGAAUUAAAUCAAUACAAAAGUUGAAAAUUGAAAGCUUACAUAAUUAAUUGUUGUCAAUGUCCACCCUAACUAAAUUUUAACCUAUUUAUUUAUUAAUAGUAUAACAUUUUUAAAUUAUAUAUAUAUAUAUUCGAAUUUGCUGAUUUUUACGAAUUUGUAGAAGCAAAUCUAUUUCUAAUUCAUUGACGGUGGAUUUUUAAAAUUUUUUAAUCUAAUCCAAUCCAUCAAUCCAUGGAUUAGAUUUUUAUGGAAAUGAUUUUUACAGAUUGAAUGAAUGAAAUGUUAGAAAAUCAAUGGUUGAAGCAGGACUACAGCUAAAAUGAAUUGGAAUAAAAUAAAGAGCAAGCACACAUAGAGGACACAAAAAAUUACAUGGUUCGGUUUUUAGCCUACAUCGAUGGGCGAAGAUAGAAGAAAAAUAUUUUACUAGUGAAAAUAAAUUACAAAUAUUGUGGUAUUUUAACUCACUACCCAAAACCUCAAUACCCCCAAACUCUCAAAUCACUAAUAACACAAGAGUUAUUUAUUUUUCUUCUCAAAAUUUUCUGCAGCACUACCAUUUUUCUUACAUUUCAGUUUCUUGAAUGUCAAAGUCGUGUGCCGCCAAUUGUACUUCUUCAAAGAUGCUGCAGCCCUCUUUGAUUUUUCUUUGUUCAAAAUGAGCUGCUUCGAAAAUUUGGUAGCUAAUUUUCUUGACAUUCUCCCACUUCAAUUGUCAUAUUGCUUACGUCUCUGCUAGGUCACAAGCAAAUCUACUCCAUACAAACUUGUCAACAUUGAUUGGCUUGGUAAAACAUCUGCUAGGUUCUCUUUAGUAUGAAUUUUCUGCAAAUCCACACUUUCGUCUUCCAUUACAUCUCAAACAAAGUGGUAUUGUACCCCUUGUGCUUUGUCCUGGAAUGAAAGGUUGGAUUCCUUGCAAUGUGCAAGACACUCUGACUGUCACAAAAUACAGAAAUUUUCUCUUGUUUGUGUCCGAGCUCCUCCAAUAAUCUUUGUAUCCAAAUAGUUUCCUUGCAAGCUUGUGUAGCUGCCGUGUAUUCUACUUCUAUUGUAGAUAAAACCACAAUGGUCUGUAGUUUUGAAACCCAACUUAUAGCUCUUCCUGCAAGUGUAAACAUAUAGCCAGUAGUGGAUUUCCUUUUAUCAAGGUCUUUUGUAAAAUCUCAAUUCAUUUAGCCCCUGACAAUAAACUCUGAUCCUCCGUAACAUAAUGCAACAUCUGAGGUUCCUCUGAUGUAUCUCAAAAUCCUCUUCAUAAUUUUCCAAUGUUCAACACUAGCAUUCGCCAUGUGUCAACUAACUACUUUUAUUGCUUGUGCAAUGUCCAUUCUAGUACAUAUCAUCGAACAUUAAACUUUCCAUUGCUGAUGCAUAUGGUACUCGAGACAUUUCCUUGCUCUCUGCUUCAUUGCUUGGACAUAUACUUGAGGAUAACUUGAAAGUAAUAGGAAGUGGGGUAUAAAUUGGCUUACAAUCUUGUAUGUUGAAGUGCCACAAGAUUUUCUCAAGUAAUUCUUCUGAAAAAGCCAAAUCUUCCUAUUAUUUCUGUCUCAGUAAAUUUGCAUCCUUAGAAUCUUGCUUGCUGGUCCUUCAUUUCAAACUCCCUAGCCAAUUGUGCUUUUAAUUCUUAGACUUGAUCUUUGUUGGGGCCUGUUACCAACAUGUCAUCUAUGUACAAUAGCAAAAUGAUGAAAUCAUUAUCUUCAAACCUCUUGUAAUAUGCACAAUGGUUUGAACUAAGUCUGUUGUAUCCAAGCUCAUGAUAAAGGAAUUAAAUCUCUUAUACCAACACCUUUGCACCUGUUUGAGACCGUAUAGAGAUUUUUUCAACUUGCAAACCAAAUUCUCUCUGCCCUUUUCAGCAAAACCUUCGGGUUGGAGCAUAUAAAUUUCUUCUUGAAGUUCUCCAUGAAGAAAUGCAAUUUUCAUAUCUAACUGCUUUAGAUGUAGGUCAAAUGUAGCACACAUCGCCAAGAUUAAUCUGACUGUUGUAAGUCGAACCACUGGAGAAAAUAUCUCGUUGAAGUCAAUUCCUUCUUUAUGAGCAUAUUCUUUUACCACCAAUCUUUUACAAUACCGCUCCAUUUGUUCAUUGCCAUCACGCUUGACCUUGUAGACCCAUUUAUUUCCAAUGACUUUUCUUCCAUAUGGUAGUAGUACAAGUUGCCAUGUUUUAUUCUUGUGUAGAGCCUCAAUUUCUUCCUCCAUUACUGUCAUCCACAAAGCAAAAUCUGAGCUGCUUAAAGUUUCAUAGAAAGUUAAUGGCUUUUUAUCCUCUAUCAGAAGACGGCAUGCAACAUUGAUCUUUGUGACAUAAUCUGAGUGCCACAUUGGCGAUCGUCUCUCACGAGUUGACUAACGAACUUCUCCAGCCUCGGACUCAACUGGUUAUUGUUCCUCGUGCUCUGGUGCUGCUUCAGAAGAAUCUGAAUCUUUUUUUCCAGAUUAUUUUCAACAUAUACCAGCACAGUCUUUGACUUUUCUUUUACAGUGCUAUCAUCUUUAUCUCUCUUUGUAGUUGAUCAUCUACAAAGAUAACAUCUCUGCUAAUGACUAUCUUGUGGGCAGUGGGGUCCUACAGACGAUACCCCUUUCUCCAUUAGCAUACCCCAAGAAGAUACACCCAUAAAUUUUAUAUUCAGCUUUAUUUUUUCUUGGGCAUUGUACAUCACGUACACAUGACAUUCAAAUGUAUAUAGGUGGGAGUAAUCAGUUGGCUUUUCUGUCCACAUCUCCAUCAAUGUCUUUAACCUAAUUGAUGUGGAUGUCAAUCGAUUUACUAUAUAACAAACAAUUUUGGCUGCUUUUGCCCAAAAUAAGUUGGGUAGACCAGCAGUCCUCAACAUAGCUCUUAUUAUUUCUAUAAAAGUUUUGUUCAUCCACUCUACCACUCUAUUAUGUUGGGAAGUGUAUGACACUGUGAACUGCUUCUGAAAAUCUUUUUGCUUACUUUAUGCAAUAAACUUGUCAUUUGUAUACUCUCCACCGUUAUUUGUCCUCAAGCACUUUAUCCUCUUUUUGAAUUCAAGUUCUAUCAGCAUUUUGUACUAUUUGAAUACUAGAAACACAUAUGAUGUUUUCUUGAUUAGACACACCCAACAUCUAUUGAAAUAAUCAUCAAUAAAAGGCACCAAGUACUUUGCACCUCCCAUGGACAUGUCUGGUGAUUCCUAAAUAUCAGAAUGAACCAAGUCUCAAAUGCAUUUACUUCUAGCAAUAGAUCUGCUUAACUUCAAUCUAUGCUGUUUACUUUUAACACAAUGCUCGCAAAACGAUAAGUUUACCGAUUUGAGACCUGGAAGCAAUUUUUACUCAGAGAAAAUAUUCAAACCUUGUUCUGACAUUUGGCUAGGCUGGAAAUGUCACAUCAUCAUCACUCUUCUCCAUUUGAUGCGACACACACAUUAACUUUCUGUAGUGUUUUCCCUUUAAGCAUGAAUAAAUUAGCACUAAUCAUUUCCGUCUUCAUUAAUACAAGUGCACCUUUGACUAUCUUCAUGAUCACAUUUUCCACAUGAGUUUUGUACGCAUGACUAUCUAUUUGUCCUAAGGAUAAUAGAUUUUUAUUCAGGCCAUUGACAUGUCGUACCUCCUCAAUUGCGCGAACCGUACCAUUAAACAUUUUUAUUUUAACAGUGGAACAGCUCUCUCCGAGAGGUCAUGUGUUAGGUAGCUCUCGAUUCUAUAAGCCAGACAUUAUAUAGUUGUUUUCUGCCUUUUAAAAUAGUUGUUGCCUUGCUGUAGAGAAUUUCGCUAUCAUUUAAGGUACUUACUACACACCCCUGAGCAUUUGAUGAUACAGGAACUAUACCCUCUCUUCUCUUCUAGUUGUUCCAAUAAUCUUUUUUGACACACCAUUUCUUACCACAAUUGUAGCAUUUGACAUUAUUCUUACUUCUUGAUUUUGAUCUACCAUGAUUGUGACUCCUAUUGGGACCACGUUCCGUUGGUCUCCCUCUUAUCACCGAUAGUACUUCCACUUGUUGCGAACUUGCUUGCCUAUCUUCCUUAUUUUUCCGCAUGCUCUCAUUUAAUAUGGAGGCUGCAACAUCAUCGAAAGCUACACUGUUUGCUUGGUUGUUUGUCAGAUUAAUGAUGAGUUGAUAUGUGAAAAUAGAGUCUUCAAGGUGUUGAUAUGGUCGAUCACCGAUGUAAAUUUCGCUAUUCGAAGAGGAUAAAGUCUCUACUUUAAGAAGAUCAUAUUGUGCAGUGACUUGACCUCGUACAAUUUUGUAAGAGUAUCCCAUAUUUCCUUAGCUAUCUUUUUCUCUGCCAUACUAGAUAACAUCCCAUCUGCAAGUGCCAGGUGUAGAUCAGCAAUUACAUUACCGUCCAUCUCAUUCUACUUGUCAUCAGUUAUAUUUGUGGGUCUUUCUCUAAUUGUUGCUAAGCAAUUAGUUUUCCUCAAUACAACCUUCAUCUUCAUUUUCCACAACGAGAAAUUAUUUUCGCUGAACUUCUCAAUUUCAUAUUUUACUGUCAUCACUUUUUACAAUGAACUACUUUAGUUAGAAUUGGCUCCCACCAUUUCACGAGAACAAUAACUAUAUAUAUGAACAAUGUCGUAUAUAUGAACAAUACUCUAUAUGUGAACAAUACCCCGACUCUAAAAAUACAACCAGUAGCUCUGAUAUCAGUGUUAGAAAAUCUAUGGUUGAAGCAGGGGCACAACUAAAAUGAAAUUGGAGGAAAAUGAAGAAUAAACACGCACAGAUGACACAAAAAAUAACGUGGUUCAGCUUUUAGCCCACGUCCACGGACGAAAAUAGAAGGAAAAUAUUUUACUAGUGAAAAGCAGUUACAAGUAUUGUAAUAUUUUAACUCACUACCCAAAUACCAAUAAACUCAAACUCUCAAAUCACUACGAACACAAGAGUUAUUAAAACACAUGAGUUAUUAAAACUCUAUACUCUCAAUUCUUAGCUCUCUAUAAGGAAGAAGAAAAUGAGAUAAAGAAAUUGGAUGCCAAAACCAAAUGGGGAGCUCUCUUUUUAUAGCCAAAAUUGGCUAUUAUUUUAUUUAUUUUUCUUGUCAAAAUUUGCUACAACACCACUAUUUUUCUUACAUUUUGGCUUCUUCAAUGUCAAAACCGUGUGCUGCCAAUUUUACUUCUUCAAAGAUGCUGCAGCUCUCUUUGAUUUUUCUUUGUCCAAAAUGGGCUGCUUCUAGAAUUUAGCAGCUACUUUUCUUGACAUUAAAUAAAUAGAACACUCUAGCACGUUGUUAUAAUCAUGUUGCAGAUAGAACACUCUAACACAUUGUUAUAAUCAUGUUGCCUUGACCUUAUUUUCUUGAAGCAUGUUGACAAAUACAAUAAUGUGCAUUUGGAGGACUAUUAUGAAUAUAAAAACAAUAGAAAGUAUAAAUGACUAAUAAUAUACAUGACUUUAAGUGACAUGAGAUUUUUAAAACUAAACAAAGCUAACACAAGUAUAUGAUCCUUUCAUUAUAAUAUGUCGUAAAAUAAAAACUACAUAAUAUGUAUUUCUUUUAUUUUUUUAGUUUAAUUCGUUCAAUUUCUUGCAGUAACUAAAAACACUUUAGAAUUAUGUUAAGAUCAACCCAUACAAAGAAAAUAUCCUAAGUACUCCGAAGUAAUAAGCAACAUACAUAUGUGUGUGUGUUGUACAAUUUAAUAUUAUUUCAACUAGCGAAAUUUAUUGUGGAAGUCAUAAAAAUUAAGAAUGAAGAAAAGGAACCAUGAACCCAAACCAGAACGCAAAAAGUAGUCAUAUUUUUUCAUGAGGGAAUUCUAACCUGCCAAUCCAUGUGUUUAGAAUAAUCAACGAUGUUGAUAUUUCUUUAUAAUGGUCCUACAGUGAACAGAAACAUGCAGAAUACGAGUCAGGGUGUAUUGAAAAGAAUACGUAAAAACUCUUUUAAUCCCUAUAUUUUGAGGUUAGUAACCUAUAUUUUUAAGAAUACCUCAAAACUCCCUGCAGUUAAACUAUUGACACAUCUGCCUUUUUAUUUUUUAUUCCUUUUAACUUACUUCUAUAAUAUUACCUUUUUACGAUAAUUUUUUUGGACAUUAAUAAAAAGAAAAAAAUUAUCAAUUUAAACCUAAAAAUGAUACACACACACACACACAUAUAUACACUAAUUUUUCUAAAAGCUCACAUAUUGUAAAAAAGUAAUAUUGUAAAAAAAAUUAAAUUACGAACUUUUUUGGACAUUAAUAAAAACAUAAAUAUAUUAACUCAUCAGUAGAAUGCUCUAAAUUUAUUUUUUUGGAUUAAAUUAAUAAUUUAAUUUCUUUAUUAAUGUCCAAAAAAUAAACAUUAUUGUGAGAGAAUAAUAUGUAAAAGCAAGCUAAAAAGAACAAAAAGUAACGGCAGGGGUGUCAAUAAUUUAACAAUAGAGAUGUUUUGAGGUAUUUCUAAAUAUAUAGUGACUAAAAAAAUACUAACAUAAAAAUAUAGGAAUUAAACGAGCUUUCAUCCAAAGAGAAUCCAUGUAUAGCCGAUUUUACUAGAAUUUACAAGUAAAAUGCAAAUACCAUUAGUCUUCUAAAACACAUGCAACUUUUCAUCAACAACCUGAAAAAUACCAUUAGAAGAGAUACUUGUACCAUUUCCAUGGGAUCAUCAAUCUCGAAACAAAAGAGUUUUUGUGAGGCAACAUAUCAGCAUGUAAAAUGCCACUUCAUUAACUAGUAGUUGAAAAUGACAAGAAGAGCAUAAGAGAAAUUUUAGAAUACCUCUAAAGUACCAUUUCAUCUAUGCAAUAAGUAAAUAAUUAAGUGCAUUUAUUUUGAAGAACCGACAAGUAAUUAAUGGUUAUACAAAAUUUAAAUACACAUGUCAUAUAUGUAUUAAUUGAUUAUAUUAUCUUUUGGGUGCUACUAAGUUAUAAUUACUGUAACUUACAGCCCUUCAAAAUAAUGUAAACAGUUGUCAUAGGUGGUAGGACCCGUAUGAUUAUAAAAGGAAUUGUAAAUUACAGCAGCAGUAACUUAGCAAAAUCUUUAUCUCUUAUGCAUUUUAGAAUUUCUCAUGAAAGAGACACAACAUAUUUCACUUUUUUUCUUCUUGAUUUUACUGCAUUACACUAAAGUGUAGCACAUGAGCCACAUGCAUAUGAAAAUUUAGACUAGUUGGUGUAGGGCAUGUUGAGGAGUCAGAGCCUUUCCUUUCUGACACAAUGAUAACAUAGUAUAUCAGUGUGCAGUACAUAAGCACAUGCGCAUACAAACUUAGACUAGUGGUGCGAGGCUUGUUCGAGGAGCCUCUCUUUUUUUCUUUUUUUGACACAAAAUGAAAAAAAUUAUUAACCAUCAAAUUACAAUUUGAUAAGUCUGAUGAAAGAUUAAAAAAAAAAAAUAGAAAUACAUGUGUCUAACAAUGUACAUUUUAGUGUCUUUAUCAUCGCAAGUCUUGUAGGCAAGAACGACUCAACCAAUUUUAAAGUCCUAGGUGAAUUGUACUAAAAUUUUUAUUUAUUUAAGAUCAAUGUUUUCUAGCUUUCUGAAAUGUAAAAUUAUUAAUCAAAUUUUUAUGUUCUAAUUUCAUGAAUAUAUUUUUCUCAAUAAUCAAUAUAGCUAAUCCAUUUGUUCUCUCUUGCGAGAUUGUUAAUUCUAAAUAUGUUUUUAUAAAUUUUAAUUUUAAAAACUUCUUUCUACAGAAACAAUUGUUAGUAGUACUAUUAAUAAUAUUCUAUAUGCAAUCUAUGCAUUUGAGAAAGAAUCAAUUUGUUUUCAAAUAAUUAAUUAGUAUUUUUUCACCUUGAAAUACUUCAUUUAAAAUCUCAACUCUUAAAACAAAUAUUCACCAUCUAUAUCAGAAAGUGUAUCAUGUUUUAAAGUAUUUUCGAGAUUAACACAAUAAAUAUUUAAAAUGUAGUCAUUUAACAAUUGUAAUUUUUUGAAAUUAAACAAAAAUCCAACCAUAUUAUCAUAUAUUUGAAAUUAUUCACAUAUAGUCUUAUUGUAGAAAUAACUUGAUCUACUAUAUAUAUAUAUAAUAAUUAAUUCUAAAGGACUCUUCAACAGACAAAAUUUCCUCUUCACUAACAUUUUCAUUAAAUUUGUUUCUUUUUCUACAAAUUAUACUUUUUUCAUGAAAUUUAGGUUCUAUUUCCAUUUCACUUGCAAGUUCUCUUGCUGAAAUCAGAGCAGACAUGAAUCCAUCUUUUCUAUUUCUUUCAAAGAAAGAAAUAAGACCUUUAAGCUUAUCUAUGGCAAUAUCAGUAUGUACGUAUUCUUUUUGCAAGAUCAUACUUUGUAAUACCCCACCCCGCUGCUUUGACUAAUUUUGACUUGCUUUUUUAUUAUAUAAAAAUGUUGGGAAAAUAUGCUCUUUAAAAGCAUAUGUGUUUAUUUAAUUGUAAUAAACAAAUUUUCUGAUUAAUAAAAUAAAUGAGGUAUUUUAUUCAAAUAUCUUAAUUGCAUUAAUAUUUGUAUUAAAGUCCAUUUAAUCAUAUUAUAUGUAUUUAUGUGAUCACCAUGUGGAUUCACAGAAUGAAUUUAUUACAGUCUAUACCUAAAUAAAGUGCCCAACUUUAUUUAGUUCACAGAAGAUAUAAAUACAAGUUAUCUUAUGAUUAAAUAAAUUUAGUUCGCAGUUGAUAAAAUAAAGUUGGGCACUUUAUUUAGGUAUAGACUGUAAUAAAUUCAUUGAAUGAUUUGUCUUAAUCAUAUAUGAAUUUAUUACAGUCUAUACCUAAAUAAAGUUAUCUUAUGAUUAAAUAAAUUUAGUUCGCAGUUGAUAAAUAAAGUUUGGCACUUUAUUUAGGUAUAGACUGUAAUAAAUUCAUUGAAUGAUUUGUCUUAAUCAUAUAUGAAUUUAUUGAUGUAGUACGACUACAUUGAACAUCAUACUACAUUGAACAGGAUCACAUAUGAGAUUUAAUUAACUUUGUAAUAACUGUCAGACUUAUUAAAUCUCAUAGGUGUUGAUUUUACUGUAAUCUUAAUCUUGAGUUAAUUAUGAUUUCAUGAUUGUAAUUGUUAUUCCAUUUGAGUUACUAAUGGGCACGGCACAUCCUUGUGGUCAAGAUUACCCGGUAUUUUGGUGGGAGCAAUUAUGAGUAUUGGAGUUAUGGAUUAACAAUAUAGAAUUUGUACAACACAUCUCUUGAUGGGUUUUCGGCACUUGAUCAUAGAAUUCUCUGGCCAGAGUGUGUCAACAUAUUUAGUAUGUUGAAAAUGAUCAUUAGAGAAAACCAGUAAGAAUCAAGGAAUAAGAUAUUAUUAAAUUGAUUGAACAGUUGAGAUAUCAAUUUAAUUAACGAUGUGGUACAAAGGAUUGUGCAGUAAAGAAAUCAAUGUGGCUUGGACCGAAUUAUUAUUCGAGCAUACAAUUAUGGAAGUCAGUACCAAUCUUUUAGUGGAGUAGAUUUGGAAUUAAAUAAUUGGGCUAGUUUAAUUACAGGCUUAAUUAUUGUAGCCACUAUUGUAUGUUCCCAAAUGAUCCCCGGGUUAGUUCAUUUAAUUGAUUGCACCACUACUAGACUAAUAAGUAAGAUAACUAGCUAUUUGGGUCAAAAGUCUAAAUAUAUCAUUUAGUGGGAGGCUCUAUUCAAUUAGUUUUUGUGUAAGGGGCCUUAUGUUAUUUUACAAGGUGGGUCCCCUAUUAAAAAAGCAAAUAACGUGGGUUUUGUUUUUCGAUUAUUUGGAGCCUAAGGUUUUUACUAAAGGGAGAUAUAAAAGGCUUAUUUUUCUCUAAAGAAAAGGGUGAAGCUACUUUAUAUGGAUCAGAGAAAAUGAUUUUUCUCUCUAUUGUUGAGAGAAAAAUUUUCUCGUGCUAGUUGCUUUGGUAGUGAUAAAGGCGCCCACACGUCAAGUGCAGAUCGAACCUGAGUCAUAACCUGGAAGAUCAUUGGUGCCAGUUCGUGUUCUAACAAGCGUGGUGGUGACGGAUCGUGAUCUAACAGGAGUGGUGGUGACGGAUCGUGAUCUAACAGGAGUGGUGGUGACGGAUCGUGAUCUGGGAGCCUAAAUCAUUUCAGCAGAAAAAGCUAAAUCAGAUUUUCAAGGUACGAUUUCUAGAUUACAAAUUCUUAUAUAUUAUAUGAGAGCGAUCUUAAAAAGGUUUUAUAAAAAUUAAAAAACUUGAUUUUUCCCCAACAAAAAAAAGGAAGCUGGAAAUUGUUUAAAGAAGAGGAAGCAUAUUCACACGUGAGAAAGAGAGAAAGCUGCCAAAACCGACUCGGAAAACCUAACCCAUGAACCAACCUGGCCACCAUUUCUCGUUCCCGACCACCCCACCAGCAACGGGAGGUACCGAUUAGAAGCUUUAGAACCAAUGGUCACUUCCCCGCCAUUGUUACCGUUGAAUAACGACCAGAACGCCGUCAUUUGGGCUCGCAAAACUUGCAGUAUUUGCCACCUCCAUUCACCGUGAUUUCGCUGGUUUUGGGUGACGCCACCGACUGGGUUCGUUCCUCAGGUCACUACCUUCAUUUUUUGACCACCCACAUCACCAAAAAUAGUUGAUUUACUGCCAAUCGACCGCCAAAGUGUUCACGGCUUUGGGAGCUCAAUCCGGUGCCUCCGUCGCCACCGUUGGAUUCAACGCGACAUGAAGCUUCUAUCCCGACCUUUCCCAUCACCACCGUAUGAAUUUAGAUCACCGUUGGUCGAGGAGAGCAUUUUAGUAAUUUUUUAGAAUUAGAGGGUAAUUUCUUAAAUUUUUGAUUUCAUGAAUAUUUCAGUGAUUUCUGAUUUGAGAAUAAGAAUCUAAGGGUAGUUCGAUAAAUUAUGAUUUUGAGGAUAAUUUGGCAACUUGUGAUUCUGAGAUUUCAGGGGCAUUCUAGUAAUUUAAAUUUUGGUAUUUUUGUAAUUAAUUAUUCAAAUUGAGAUUAAUUGAGGUUAAGUUUAGAGGGUGUUAUAUUGAGGAAUUUGAGAACAAUAGAGUUUAUGAUUUCAUAUGAUUUUAUCUUAUAGGAGUAUUUUUUAUUGAUUUUAGGUCGGUGAUAUCGAUACAUAUUUGUUACUUGAGGAUGCUAGAAGGUAAGUAAACUAGAUUUCUAAAUGAGUCAUAAUAAAUAAUAUGUACAUGUUUGACAUGUUUGAAAAGCUUAUUUUGAUAUAUACGGAUAUGGAUUUAUAUGCUCUGCCCAUGUGUUUAUAUGAUGUGUUAAUAGGAUGUAUUGUUAUGUGUUAUGUGUGUUUAUGGACAUGGACAUAUGUCUGUGUGUAUGUUUCAAUGGCAUUAGCACAAAAAUGUAUUAUGUUUUUUGUGAAAUGAGAAAGCGGAUUUUAGCCAAACGGAAUUGAAAGAAAGAAAAUCUUACACUAUGUAGUAGCAAUCCUUAUGAAUUUCCUCGAGGUGAUGAAUGUUUUCGUUAUUCAAAGCUAGGCCAUACAUUAAACCAAUGUCCAGAACGAAGACAACAAAUAGUCAAUUUGGAAACUAAUGUAGAGGAAAAUGGAAAGCCUAAGGAUGAACUAUAUAAAGACAAUGACGACAUAGAAAAGGAGGAAGAGUGGACAUAUUGAGACAUAUGAGUAUCACUAGUAACACAACAUUCGUUAUACACACAAAAGAAAGACGAAGACACUCAGAGACAUAAUAUCUUCAAAACAAGGUGCACAAUCAAUGAGAGGGUAUGUGAUGAUUAUUGACAGUGAUAGUAGCAAGAAUAUAGUUUCGAAGAUUAUAAUUGACAAGUUACAGCUUAAAACUCACAAACAUCCUUCCCCUUAUUGCAUUAGAUGGAUAAAAGAUGUUGGAGAGAUCAAGGUUACUCAACAAUGUUGUAUUCAUUUUUUCCAUCAGAAGACAUAAAGAUGAAGUUACUUGCGAUCUUGUUGACAUAAAUGCUUGCCAUUUGCUUUUCAGGAGACCUUGGCAAUUUGAUCUUAAUAUGGUACAUUAUGGGAAAGAUAACACAUACAGGUUCUAUAAAGACAACCUAGAAGUUAUCCUUGCUCCGAUAAAGUCAAAUGUCAAGGGAACUUAUCUUUUACUACAAAAGAGAUAGCUGAAGAAGAAUCGAUGCCUGAAUAAGUCCAAUCGCUACUCUCAUAAUUUCAGGAUAUCGUGCCUAAAGAGCUUCUUAACAAGUUACCUCCUAUGAGGAUUACCUAUGACUCAAAUUAAAAGAGAACUUCUAAUGGUUUGCCCUUACAAGUCUACUAUUUUUAGAAGAACCAUACUAAAAAACAAGAAGAAAUUGAAGUUUUAGUACUUUUGAGUUUUAAGAAAAGUUGAUGCAAAGUGCUACACUUUUGCAGUGCAAGAUCAAUUACUCCUUCAUUAAAAGAUUUAUCCUCUAGAUUGUCCUUUAUUUUCAGCAAAACUUGAGGACGAGUUUUUUUUUUCGAAGAGGAGCAGACUGAUGUUGUAACACUCCACUAAAAUAUCUAUUUUAAAAAUGUUUAAAACAUAGUUAAAUAUGAUUUCUAAAAGCUUAACACAACAAACAAAAUUUUCUUCAUAAAGUAAAAGUCAUACAGAGAUUUAAUAGUUUAUUUCAAAACUUGAUUAUUACAUAAAGCUAAUAUGUUUAAUUUUUAUUUAAACAAAGCUGAGCCCAUCUUAAAAUCCCAAGGUCUGUUAUGCCCAUAUGCACUUCGUCUUGCUUAGGACUUGGCGCCAGCUUGCCUUACUCAUCAUUAUCUGCAAUGUAAGGACUUUAUGAGCUAAUGCCCAAUAAGAUAAUACUUUUAUGAAUGUAUAAAUUAUGAUGCAUAUGGAUGACCAUCUUAAGCUUUUAAAAUAAACUUAAAAAAUACAAAACAACUUCAUUAGGGCCCUAGGUAUGUUGCACUACAAGGUUGGCACUUUUACUCUUUUAAACAAUAUGCCUUUGGGCCUCAUUAGUUGAUCUUUUAGGCGUUAUGUAUCGCCGUCCCCAAAAGAUUUUUUAUUAGUUAGCUUUAAGGGCUUGCCCUCCUUAGAAACUUUGCCACCUGGUGGUACAACCACUUAUUUUUCAUAAAUUCAUUUUCUGAAACGCCUUCUUCAUAAUGUAAUCCAUGAUAUGCAUGCAUUCAAUGCAAAUUAUGUCAUAAUAUUUGAAGUUCCUAAAUGCAUAAAAGAAUCAAUACAGAACACUAUUUAAGAACAAGAUUCUUUAAUACAGGUGGCACAACCGACCAUAACAUAAAUAAUUAUAAGUAUCACAGAUUAGGCGACAGAGCCGACCAUAACAUAACUAAGCAUCGUAAAUAGGCGGCAGAGUCGACCAUAACAUAACUUAUCAUCGUAGAUUAGGUGGUAAAGCUGACCAUAACAUAACUAAGCAUCAUAGAUUAGGCGGCAUAGCUGUUGGUUAAUUUAACUCGAUUGUUAUUGAUGUUAAUGUGCAAGUGUACACAACAAUUGUCAAUUUAUACAAAGUUGCUUGUAUUAUUUCUAUCUGUAGGUUGGGUUAAAGUUGAUAUGGAUGGUGUACAAAAUGAUAAAUUUCACUAUUAUUCAUUCAUAAUAAAGUUGAUUGACUAAUAACAUUAACAACGCAAUAAAGUAACGGCAAUAAUAAAGUAAACUGAACAGCUUGCACAAAUAAAAUUCAAUAAGGAUAAAGUAGUUGAAUGAUCAAACUCUCUUCAUGGGCUGACUGUUUUGUUUAGACUAACACCAGUUGGUGCAACAACUCCUAUAGCACUGGGCAGACUUAUGCAACCUAACAAUGACCAGUCGUUAUAUUACGAACAUAUACUCUCUUUACCCUACAAAGUGAAUCAUUAUAUCUAUGUCAUCACAAAUCUUAAUUCAAGUGUGGCCCUCUUGAGACUCAAGUUAAACUCAAUCUAGAAAACUUAAAUUAAGAUCAAAUAUUACUCUAAUAAUUUCCAUUGAGACAGACCCUUUUGUGGCUCUCUCUUAACUUGAACCAUUAAAUGAGAGGUCAAUCGAAACAAUGAUUGUAAUACAAGCUAUUAAAGCAAAAUGCUACAGCAAUGUUGCAGCAACUCAUAAGAACAGUCAAGAACCCAUUUAGAUCGUUUGUCACUCAUAACUUGUAAAAGAAAAACAAACAGCAAAGUAUCAGCCAUGAAAUACAUCGUUUUAAUCAAGGAGUAAGUAAGGGGGCAGUAAAGAAUGAUGAAAAUUGAAUCCAAAUAGUUCUAUAGAUUUCUUCAAUGGUGCAGACUUGUCUCUCUUGAAUUCUGCUCUUUCCUUAUUUUCUCUUGAUUUCUUCGAUGUUAAUUCACCGCCCCCUUUCUAUAUGAUGCGUGCUCCUUUUAUAAUUGAAAAUUAGAGUAAACGGAAGCCUAGGGCACGCAUGAGUCAGAUUAGAAAACUGCAGAUCACGAUUCUCCAAGUAUCCUACGUGGAAUUUUCUCUAUCAUUGUUCCAAGAUUGCUACAGCAAUAGCUACUACAGCAACGGCUACAACAACUGCACUGUUCCAGAUUUGUUUCAAGUCUUUUGUGGCUAAGUUCUUUUCCAUCUUUUACAAGCCGAUUGCAUCAGCAUUCCUUCCUUAAAACUUGAGCUUCCGAACACCUACAAUUACGCACACAAUCUAGGCACAAAUUAUUUUAAAUCAAACAAAAUUUAUUACGACUAAACUAAAAUGAAUGUUUAUGCGAAAUAUAACAAAAAUGCAAUAGAACACAACAUUUACUCUCUAAAUAAUAUCGAUUUAAGUCUAAAAGUGCAUUGAUAACUCUCAUUUCCUAGAGUUAUCAAUAGCCGACCAUAUAAGAAUUUAGAUUAUAACUAAUAACAUCAUAAUAGCCAUCACAACAUAAGGAAAUCGUUAAAACUGAAGUUAAGUAUGAAAAGAAUUUUGUCCUUACAUUGCAGUUGAAGUGUUACUUACAUCUUGGCCUUGACUUCUCUAGACAUUUCUAAAUUAAGGAUUUCUAUACACUUGAUAUUAUGACUUAGAAUAGAAUUCAAUUUUGGCGGGAAAUUAUUUAUGAUAGAAUAUAUGAUGGCUUUUCCAUCAUAAAGUUUUGAUUUUUUUCUAAAAUUAUAUUAUAAUUUAUUAAUGAAUUCCUGUUUACAAAUUUAAUUAAUUAAUAAAACAAAUAUAAUAAAAAACUUAAUAUCAAUUAACAUUCAUUCAAUCCAAAAAUUAAUUUAAAAAGAAAUACAUCUAAUAUCUAAUGUGAUCUCCACCAAUACAUAAUAAAACAUCCCAAAUUGAAAAAGUCAUCCCAAAAUAUAAAAUUGCAGUCAAAUUCCAAUCAAACUCUAAGAAAAGCAAUAAGAAUUCCGGCCACCAAGCCAAGUUACCCAACAAAACUUCCAAAGAUUAAUGCAAGUACUCCAACAAUAAGAUUUCUAGCAAGACUUCCUGUAAAAAUUCCAGCAACAAUAUCAUCUUUCGACAGCACUCUAAACGAAAAUUGAAACUUACAAAGCGACCUACAAGCUUCCUGUGAACAAAAUUGAUUCAAACACCAAGCAGAAUAAGGAAAAUUAAGAGGCUGCAAUACAUGUGGGCAUCAAAUAUAGUAAUCCAUUUGAUUUAAACUGACUUAACUUUUAUGGAAUGAGCAAAAUGUACAUACUCAAUGGAUUAAAAUUACUUUUAGUGAAUGGGAAUUCAUCAAAAUCAGCAAGCUAGCUAAAAAUGCAAAGGAAGCCACAACAAUAGACCAGUGUAAGGAGACAAAAAUAAAUCAUAAAGUCAUAAAAAGCAAUGGCAUCCAGAUCCAGCUGAACUGAUCAACCAAUGAAAAGGAAACCAAACAACCAACUUUGACAAGCUUAUCUCAACCAACAGCACUAAUUCUAGGCCUGUAACUUGCCUACGUAUUUAAAAUAGCAAAUAGUCCAAGUUUAACAUCAAUUUUGACAAGAAACACAACAAACAGAAAAUGUAACAAAAACCAAAUCAGAGGCUAAGCAACAUACUGCAGCCAUUAUGCCACACAAGAACAUAAAUAUUGCAAUUUGUAGUAGCCCUCCAAGAACAGCGACAUGUCCCACUGCUUUUAACUGCAUUGAUGAUGAAUUAUGGAAUUGGAACAAAUUUUAUGAACAAAGAAGGAAAAUGUUGUCAAUAAUUAUCAUACACUUUCCAAGCACAGAAUGAUUUACCUUUUGUCAAAGAAAACUCUAGCCCCAAAGCAAAAAGAAGGAAGACAACACCAAAUUGUGCAAAAGUUUCAACCUGUGAUGAAUGAAACAAAAAGGAACUUGUUACCUAGAAUAAUGAUCGCAAAAUAAACAGAAGAACAAAUACACCACAAGAAUCUCUACCAGAUAAUAACUAAUAGUAGUUUACUGAAUAUCUACCAAUUCACUUAGGCUUAAUGAGCUAAAUGAAAAACUUUUCAUCAGAAAGUUAAUAUCAUAAUGAGGGAUUGAUAGUUAAAAAACUGGAAAAGUUAAAGAGGAACAUAUUGUUUUUUUAGGCCAGGUUUUCUUCAAAAUCUCUUGAUGUGAAAGUUCUCAGCUUUCACAACAAAAAACUAAAUUUUGCAGUGAAGUAUUGUUGGACCGAUUACCAUAGGUUUUAUCAAAUCAUAACUAAAGCAGUACCAUAACCAUUCUCGAAUUAAUUUACUCACUCAGCAUUAUAUCACCUUUAUGCAUCCUUUUAUAUUCAUCCAGUAUACUUCCAAGAAAAUCCUGUCAAAAUAGCGUAUGAACUAAGUGUCCCGAUACACAUUACCAACUAGCCAUUAUUUAUUUGUUUAUUUUCUUUAGCAGUAACUAGAAUAACUAUAGCUAGAAGAAGAAAUAAUCAGAGUGCCAAUGCAUAAACUACAGAAUAUACAUUCUACACCAAGAAAUUGAUUAACUGAACUAUUUACAAUCCUGAAAUAACCCAAGGUCAAGAAACGGCUAAAUAUGCUUCAAGACCUGAAUCUUACUAGCCCAUGUCCAUAAAUUGUAAGCGAAAAUCAUUAAUAUAUUUUUAAACAGUACUUGUAAAAUAAGUGUUCCAAUUGUAACUUGACCAUGAAGAGCAUUAUUGCUGUUCUGUUCUACCAAAAAUUUCACCACCUAGCACAGGUAACAGGAAAAGCAUGAACCAGAUAGAAAUUCACAAGUGGAAGCCAAGAUGAAAAGAGGAAUUCGAUUGUCAAAAAAAUGGUGUAGAAGAAUACCACUGCAGUUGAUGACAUAUAUUACUGGUUUUUUUUUUUUUUACAAAAAGGCUUUAUAAUAUAUAUAUAAAAAAUUGAAAUAAAAAAACUAGAAAAUAAAAAACAAAGCAAAAUAAAACAACCAAAAACCUAAAUCCCCAAAUAACCAAAUUGCCUCCCUCAGCCGCCCUCUCUCUCACGCGAAGCAACAGCCAAAAACCUAAAUCCCCAAAAUCACUCACCCUACCAUCCGUGAAGCAACAACAAACAACAGCCGACAGGCACACCUUCACUGCCUCACACACCUAAACAACAAUUACAGCCAUCACCCAUCAACAACCCAGCAGCACGCGAUGCAGUAGCGACCCAACAGAAUCAGCAGCGUGACGUAGCAGCAGCCACUCCCACGCGACAUAGAAGCAGCCACUCGAACCCCGCGCGACACAGCAGCAAUAAACCCAGCAUUUUAAUACUACUAGCAAAAUGGUGUCGACAGCAAUGGGCUACAAUUUUUAAACAACAUUGCCGGCAUAGUUACAAUAUAAUUGAAUGGCGGCGAAAGGAUGGUGUUUUGCUCGGUCGAUUGAGUGCAAGGUUGAUUUCUAGGGUUUGGCCAUGAGAGAGUGAUGAGUGUUUGGGUGUGAGUGUUAGUGAUUUUGGGGCUUGGUGGGUCAAGACAAUAGUGUUUUUCUUUUCUCUUUUUUUCAUUUUUGAAUUAUUAAAAUGCACCUUUUUUAAAAAAUAAAAUAAAAUAUUAAACUUUAGGUCAAACAUAGUCAAAGUAAAUUUUUUAUCAUAAUUUCUUGAUAGAGAAAAUUUUUAUCACGAUUCUAUCAUAAAUUUGUGAUAAACAAUAAUUAUAUCACAAAACCAUCAUAAAUUUGUGAUAGAAAAUAAUAUUGUCACAAAAUCAUCAUUAAUUUAUGAUAGAUUGAAAAUUCUAUCACGAGUCUGUCAUAUUAUUAUGAUAUAAGUUGAAUCUGUCAUAAACUGUCUGUCAUCUAUUAUAUGUUUUCUUGUAGUGAUUCUCUACCGCCAGAACCUCCUCUAAUUUCUGGCGACAUCCCCACUAAUCAGCAGCCCUCACAACAACUAUUAACACUUCAAACCAUAAACCUUAGACUGCAACAAACCUUUCAAAAUAUGCUCCACGCUUUCGCCACAUUGCCUGCCUCAAUUGGUGGCGAUUACUUGCUGACGGAACCACCAUUGAACCUUAUGUACUCUAAACAACUGUCAGCAGCCUCUCACCCUCCAGCUGCCACCAAACCCCUCAGGCACCAGUACACACGAGCACAACCAAAACUCAGGCACCACUUAUUGCCCACCAUCUGUGACUCCUUUUACCGAGACAAAUCCCCCUAGUUGCCAUAUAUCUCACCAACACCUCGCUAUCUCCCCAUUGAACUUUUCAAGAUCAAAUAUGGUGGUAGCCGUUGUAGAUCCAAGAUCAGCUAAAUACCUAUCUCUGAUACCAGUUUGUUAAGUUCUGAACAAAAGAAAGUCUUUCCAAGAUUGAAUCAAACCAAGAAAAUAGAAACUUAUAUAAACCAGAACAACGAGCAAACAAGAGAUUAAAAGAAAAGGAAAGAAAAAUAACAAGAUCAUAUAACGUGGUUCAGCAACAAGAUGCCUACAUCCACAGUUGAAAUCAGGUCUGCUUUGAAACUUUAUUAGAAAGAUAUGAGUUAUAGAAGAUUAUUGAGAUUACAGAGAUUAAAUCUUCUCUAUUGAGAUUUUUUCUCCCUCUCUCACAAAGACUAUCAUAUCAUCACUCUCUUGACCACAGUCUGCACGCUGCAAUUCCUCUUAUAUAUCUCUUAAAGAGUAAAAGCAUGAGUUGUCAUACAUAAUAACGACUUUAACAGCAGAUGGUCCCACUAAUGCCAGCUCAGCACGCCACCUUAUUCACUCUUAAAAUAAUAUAACUACGCCAGGCCUCACAGAUUUUUAAUUAAAAAAAGCAUAAAAAUGACAGUUGAAAAAUCGAUCUAAAAUGGUAAGACAUGGGAAGUUUUCCGGAUAUUAAAAUAUGAAGAAUUUUCUCAUGAAGGGCCUUGCACUUCGAUCUUUUGCUGCCUCUUAACAUGUUGUGAACAGAGAGUGCUUCUGAGUGUCGCUCCCAUUUUACCAAGAUGAAAAAUUAGGGAGGAGCAGAGUUCCCGCAAAACAGCAUAGCUGUGAUAAGUCUUUCGCGUUGCAAUCCCGUAGUAAAAGUUCAUUUGUCUAUGACCACUUUCAUACCUCCUCCGGCUGGUGGCCUUUACUCAGGGGUGGCUUUAGGUAUAGGCGAACAAAGCGGUCGCCUAAGGUCCCAUAUUUUGUGAAGGCCAUAUUUUUUAAAUUUUUUUGAUAAUUCUCAUUUUUUUAAGUUACGUAUUUUAGGAAAUCAAAAAGCUUAUUAAUAUCUCUCUAAUUAUUAAUUAUCCUACAGUUAAGAAUUAAUUUUUUAUGAAAAAUCUAUAUUUGAUAACAUUAAUGUUAAAUAGAUAUAACUAAUAAUAUUAUUUAAUCAUUAAUUCAUUCAUUAUUAGUCUUUCAAAAAUAAAUUAAUUAAUUAUCUUUUCAAUUUCCUCAAAAAAAUUAAUUAUUUAAUGUUAGAAUAUUUGACUUUUAGUAUUUCUUUUAAUUUCCAUUAAAAACUUUGUAAUCUCAAAAAUCAGUAAAUAAAAAUUUUUUUUCCUCACUUCUCUAAAAAGAAAAAUAUUAUAUUCAUUGGUUCAUUUAAAAAAAUCAAUUUAUAGAAAUACAAAGUCCAUUUCUAUUAUCUGAUCAUUAAUUUAUCAUCUCAACUUUUUAUAUUCUAUCAUUCUAAAUAUCCUAUUUGAAAAUAAUAUUAUUUGUAUUUAUUUGAUUGUUUAUUUUGUAAUAAUUUUAAUGGAAUAAAAAAUGUCUUCUUAACUUUUUUUUUAGGUUUUAUUUUUAAAAUUCAAGAAUUACAAAUGAAAUAAAUUUUGAGCUUUUUUUUUUAUUUCUUUGAGUAUUGAAAUUGCAAAACAAAUAGAGGCCUCAUAAAAAAAUUUCGCCUAAGGCCCCAAACACUCUAAAGCCGGCCCUGCCUUUACUAUGCAUGUCCAUCAUAGUCCGAUAAGCAAGCAUAUAAAAUUUUAAUCCGGACUAAUUCGUCCAAUUUCCUCAUAACAUGCAUUACGCUCUCCAUAGCACCUGCUCUGCAGUAGGCAUAAAGCAUGCAAUUUAAAUCACAUUUGUCAUGCUUGACUUCAAAAUACCCAGCCAAUUUGCCUCUUCAACAUCAACCGGACCACCACGUCCUAGUUCUUCCGGUUCCCUCAAUCAACAUCAACCGUUGAUUGUACGAUGCUUUAAAUCCUAUGGUUAUUAUUUUUUUCCAUAUUUUUAAUUUCAUGGGGUUUAUCAAUGGAACUGGUGCGUAGUAGUCGUAGCCUUAAUUAAUUUAGAAUACUUUUGAGUUGCGUUAACAGGCAGCAGUCACAAUCAACUUCAUCGCUUUGUAAAUUUCCAUUACCACAGAGUCAACAGUCAGGCUCAUGAAAAGAAAUUAUUUGUAUUUUUCUUAUUAGCAUAAAAUAAAUAAUGAAAUAAAAAUAAAGAUUUUAAUAUUUGAAUUUUGAUUUAAGUCCUAACUUAUGUGUAGCUAGAGGCGAAGUUUUGAGAGGACUAGAAAGAUUGAACCCAAGUCUCUACCCUCAUAUUUUAUAAACACAGACGACAUUGUUGGAUAUUUGUUUCUAGAAAUGAAUAUGAUAAUAGAAGAUAAUUAAAAUGGACUAAUCCAACAAUUAGGCGCUCCUUCUUUAAGCUAACCCAAUAAUUUGGAACUCAUUUUUUUGUUAUAUUUACUUUUUUAUCCUUGUAACUUUUUUCUUUAAAUGCCACAGCUCUAAUUUCUAUCCUCAUUUAAUUUAAAUGGGUACGAUUUGUCAAAUGCGAUUUAAAUGGGUGGUGCAUGUAUACUGAAAGUAGCCCUUGUGCUUAGCAUGCUAUGAACCAUGCUUGAAUAAUCGAGUAUAACUGCAUCCAUCCUCAUCUUGUAGGAAUUGGAAUGAUCCUGACUUAAGAAUAUGCAUAUACUGACGACUUUUAUUCUCAAUAAAAGCAACAUAUAUAAAUAUCAUUUUCUUUUCAUUUAUAGACCUCGAUGAAUGGGGGAGUUUAUUAUAUUAUAGAAAAGCGAUCCCCCAAUAGAAAGAAAAGUCUGGCCAACAUCAACUGAAACUGCACUCUGGGAAUUCAUCAGCCUUUGGUGCUGUGAAAGCCAUGUGUUUGUCCUCCAAGGGCAUGGGCUGAAAAAGCCAUGUAGAAGCUACAUCCAUAGUCUCUUGGUUUUGAGCACCGUGCCCAUCUCCGUGUAGAUACAUAAAAUGGGACAUUCUCACAAGAUUCAACAUGAAGUCAACUGUAUUUUGAGAUAAGGGAGAAUCUUUAUCAGCUCUGUAUGCAUUCACCUUCUUCCACAUCUGUCUCAUCAUAUCCUUGAUGUGUUCACGAGCAACUUCCUCCGAGGCACCAGUUUCAUGCAUGUAACACUGGAUUGAUUUCGGAACAUCCCCUCUCUGUAUCUCAUCCUGAUGAAUUAUUGGGGAAAACAAUUACACAAUCAAUUCGUGUAUAGAGGAUUAAUUCAAUUUCUAUCUUCUUAAGAAUCAAAAGAAAAUAAAAGAAAACAUACCGACGAAGUUCCCAAAUCAUCUUGAAGACGAAAAAUCUUGCAUGACCAGCGAACGAAAUCUGGAUUGCUUUCUAGAAAUUCUAGUUCCUUCUGAAUGAUUGGAUUUGUACCAGAAAGGUACGCACUCAUUGUUACUAUAGGGCCUGCUAUUGACACCAAUCCAUUUUCCAAGAAUUCUCCCAGUGUUGGUGUGUACUUACUAUGGUACCAUUUCGCCUCCACUAAGCCGGCUUGUAUUAAGCCAAGCCACUGAUGCACAUGAAAUAGAAAAUAAAGCUAGUUACAAUUUAUUAUUUUUGAGACAAAAACAUCGUAAUUUAAAAAGGAUAAAUCAAAGGAACGGAACGGCGGGAGAGGCAAAAUUAACAUUUUACAUACUGAAUUUUUAAUACUCCGAAGCAUAUCAAAAUCCUGUUGUUUGAGUACGUAAUAAGCAAAUUCAUUAACAAAGUUGUAAAGCGCAAAAAACCACAAUUUCAUGUAGUCCGGAAGGUGGUUCAAAGCAUAAUGGAUGUCCCACCUGUAGAAAAGAGAAAAAAAAUAUUAUAAAUGGUCUACUAAUUUGAGUCUUGAGAAGUAGCAGGCACCUAGCUUGCAAUUGAAUCAAUCGAUUAAAUAUAACAUUAGUUUGCCAACAAACCUCUCAACAGCAGCAGUGAAUAGCUCAAGUUCGUCCAAAGUUCCAUAAACAUCAUAAAUGUCAUCAAUCACUGUAAUUAGAGCUAUUGCAAUUGUGACUGUUUGGGAGAAAUACGUCGACGAGACCAGGCAUGGUGAGCAGAUAUCUGAUGGCAGAGUUCUGCGAACCGGUGUGUUCCGUAAAAGCCUGGUGCGCGGGGGAACAGGAGCAAAAAUAUCCUGCUCGUCCACGAGCACGUCAUCCGCGAGGCAAAUUUCCUGUAAGAGGCAUAAGGCCAUUCCGGCUAGAGGUCGAGAGGCGAGGAGACCCGGUCGACGGCAGUAGGCAAGGCAUGCUCUCCAGCCCGAGAAUCUAGGCACGACAGCCACGCUUUCCCCAGAACCGUGGCGUAACACGCAAGAUCCCACGUUUGCCCAUAACGCAGCAGUCGGAGUCCCAUACCGUCCCCCAAAAAAGCGGAAACAAGAUCUCACAAAACCACGACAGCCACGCUUUCCCCAGAACCGUGGCGUAACACGCAAGAUCCCACGUUUGCCCAUAACGCGGCAGUCAGAGUCCCGUACCGUCUCGAAGAAAGCAGAAAACUGGGAUUCAAAGGAAGCCUAUAAAAAGGUAGCCAACGAAGGUAAAUGGGUUAGCAUUUUUGAGAUUAGAAAAGAAAUUCUAAAAGAGAGAAAACAACCUAACAACCAUAAGAUUUGUGGCAAGUGUUCCCCGAACCUUCAUAUCUGACUUGAGCGUCGGAGGGUUUGCGCCGGGAAAACAACCGGCGUACUCUGACCUGUCUGUGUGCGCAGGAACCUCUGGAGAAGAAGCCUUGCGAGGAGACCCCCUGGUCGUGAUGAAGUUGAUCGAGCAGAGAUCCUGGUCGUAGAACGAGGAGAACCGGAAUCUCGCAUCAACAUUUUGGCGCCGUCUGUGGGGACCAGAGCAAAAAGCUUCUGUUGAUAGCAAGAAGAGGGGUGAAGCAAGUGAAAAGCAAUGGAGACAGGAGGAAGUAGUGCACAAGGGGGUGAUAGGAGGCUUAACGAUUCCGUGACGCUGAGGGAGAUAGUCAGUGAAGCACGGGGAAAAGUCAUGUUCGACCGGAUGGAACGGAUGGAAAAGCAAAUGGAGACCUUGACAACCAUCCUGCAUGAGCUGCGGAGCGAGCGAAGGGUAACCCAAGAGGGAAGGGUGAGAGGCGGUGGAGUGGCACCAGGUCCCGAUAGUGCGGGGAGAAGUCAAACCACUGGGAGAUUUGGUGGUGAGAGAGGUAACGUACCUCUGCGGGGACAAUUUCAUAGAGAAAGAGAGCAGUCCCCGGCAAGACAGACUGGUGACGAGGACGACGGGGUGGUGAAUGCAGAGGAAACAGAGUUGAGGCAACACUUGCAUGAUGUAGAGCAAGAGUGGGAUCAAGUUGCAGCACGUGACCCUGGUCGUGCAGUGCAGCUGGAGGAGGAAGUGCGCAGACUAGCGCAGAUAAUUGACGACAUGCAAGGAAGGAACAGAGCCCCUGGUUGGAGGAUAAUGCUGGACGGAGAAUCACCGCUCGCAGCAGAGAUCAUGAGGGCAGUUAUUCCGAGAGAUUUCCGCCUCCCAGACCUCAGAUACUCGGGAAGAACUGAUCCGCUGGUGCACAUAGAGCGCUUCAACGACAUAACUGGGGUACAAGGAUUAUCUCAAUCCCAAAGGUGCAGGGUGUUCCCACUAUCCCUUGAGGGACGUGCACGAGAAUGGUACAGGAAACUCCCUCGGGGCAGCAUUAAAACCUUCGAGCAGAUGUGCCAGGAGUUCGCGGAGCAGUUUAGUGGGGCAAUGGCACCGGAAGAUGACAUGAUGGAGCUGAAAAGCAUGAGACAGGGGGAGCAAGAAACCCUUCGGGAAUUCAUCGAGAGGUUUCAUCGGACUGUCCUCGACUUGGGAGCCUUCAACCACCCUCAGGCGUUAAGGGGAUUGAAAGAAGGGGUGAAGAUAGGAAGGCUGUGGUACAAUUUGAGAAGCCCAGCUAUUCAAACGUAUGCAGCCGCAUACGAACAGGCUAAGAGAGACAUCGAGAUUGAAGAGGAGAAGGCUGCACGGAUUAAGAUAGACCAGUUAGAAGGGUUGGGGAGGAAAGAGAAGAAAGCAUUACCGGGGAAUGGGCUGAUCAGGAGAAGGGACCACCAUGCCUCCGGUAGUGGAGCAGGAGGUCGGGUAACCGCUUACCAGCCUCAUCAGAGGCCACCACAGUAUCAGCGCAGCAGGGCGCAACCUCCUCGUUCCCCAGCUAGGGAGCCUUGGAGAAGGCAUGAGUCGGCAUCUGGUGGUCUUCAUCAACAUCCCCACGGUAGCAGAGCGAGCAGACCAGAAAUACUUCCACCGCCCCCAACUCAGAGCGGGGCAAACAGAGAAAGAGCAGUGCACCUGAUCGACCAGAACCCGGACUAUGGGCGGUACACUUCCUUGAAGAUGUCCCUGGAUGAGGUGUACGAGGCCAUAAAGGAUCGAGGGCUGCUGCACCUCCCUACACCAAUAACAAAGCUACCCAACAGGAGGGAUAGAGGACGUUAUUGUAAGUUCCAUGGCACCCAUGGCCAUACCACAGCAGAGUGUAGAGAUCUCAAGACCCAGGUCGAAGAUUUGGUGAGAAAUCGGUACCUGGACGAGUUUAUGGAUGGGACUUUCCCGAUGGUGGCCACAACAGGUGAAGGGGAGCAGAGUGGUAGAAACUUGAGGCGCGAGCAGCCCGCAGUGAGGGUGAUAGCUGGGGGCCCAACAUUGGCCGGAGAUUCCAACAGAUCGAGAAAAAAUUAUGCUAGGUACGCCAUGACCAGUAAGAGGUACUCUUCAACACCCCAGCAGCCAAACGAGCAAGGGUCAGGCAAGUGCCAAUCAUGUGGACGGAUGAGGAUGAGGAAGGGAUUCUAUACCCCCACGAGGAUGCUUUGGUCAUCAAGGCUAUUGUCGCUAGCAAGAAGUUUGACCGGAUACUGAUUGAUACAGGGAGCUCAAUUGAUGUGUUAUUUAAGUCAACCCUGGAAGAGAUGGGAAUAGCCGACCGGAAGUUGGAAUACACCAAUACCUCCUUGAAGGGGUUCGGAGGAGGGAAGCUGGUCCCUCUGGGCGUGGUCGAGCUGCCUAUCACAAUUGGGAGCUCCCCGACAGAAAGAACAAUGGUACUGGACUUUGUCGUAGUGGAUGAGGAAGGUCCUUACCAGAUGAUCCUAGGUCGGCCAUUUUUAAGGAUGAGCAAAGCGGUGUUGUCCAACCAUUAUCUAGCUCUGAAGUACCGGGUGAAUGGGGUAGUAGGAGUGGUACGAGGAGACCAGAGGAUCGCAAGAAGCUGCUACUCCUCGGCAGCAAGGGAAGCAAUGCAGAUAACAUCCCUCGAUACCCGAGUGGAAAACAAAAAGGGCAGACAAGAACCUGUAGAGGAUCUGGAAACGGUAAGCCUGGGACCAGAGAACCCGGGAAAGACGAUCAGAAUCGGGUCGAGACUUAAGGGAGAGCAAAAGCAGGAGUUGGUAAAAUGCUUAGAGGCUCAUGCUGAUGUGUUUGCUUGGACACAUGAAGACAUGCCAGGGAUUGACCCUGAGGUAGCAUGUCAUAAGCUGGCAAUAAAGAAAGGUGCUCGGGCAGUAAGGCAGAAGAGGAGGUGCUUCAAUCAGGAGAGGUAUGAGGCUAUAAAUGGCGAGGUGGAGAAGCUCUUGAGAGCAGGGUUCAUUCGGGAAGUCAGUUACCCUGAGUGGAUAUCGAAUGUGGUGUUGGUAAAGAAGGCAAACGGCAAGUGGAGGAUGUGUGUGGAUUUCACAGACCUCAAUAAGGCGUGCCCAAAAGACAGCUUCCCUUUACCAAAGAUCGAUCAGCUAGUAGAUUCAACGGCUGGACAUGGUCUGCUUAGCUUCAUGGACGCGUUCUCGAGAUACAACCAGAUCCCCAUGUACGAGCAGGAUGAGGAGAGCACGGCUUUCAUCACUAACCAAGGUCUGUUCUGUUACAGGGUUAUGCCAUUCGGUCUCAAAAAUGCUGGGGCCACCUAUCAAAGGCUGGUGAACAAAGUCUUUAAGCCAUUGAUUGGGAAAACCAUGGAGGUGUACGUGGAUGACAUGAUCACCAAGUCCAAAAUCCCAAAGGAACACGUCAGACACCUCGAGGAGACAUUCGAGCUUUUGAGGAAGUAUAAGAUGAAGCUCAACCCGGAGAAGUGUGCUUUUGGGGUGGAGUCAGGGAAAUUCCUUGGAUUCAUGGUGAGCCAUAGGGGGAUUGAAGCAAAUCCCGAGAAAAUCCAGGCGAUUGUGCAAAUGACGUCUCCUCGUAACCUGAAGGAGAUGCAGAGCCUCACGGGGAGGUUGGCGGCGUUGAGCAGAUUCGUAUCCAAGGCUACAGAUAAGUGUCAGCCAUUCUUUCAAGUGAUAAGGAGGGGAAAGAAAACGGAAUGGACCCCAGAAUGUGAGGAGGCCUUCCGGAACUUGAAGCGAUACUUGCAGCAAGCUCCGCUGCUGUCCACACCGAGGGAGGGGGACAAGUUAUAUCUGUAUUUGGCGAUAUCGGAUCGGGCCGCCAGUUCUGUUCUGGUGAGAGAGGAAGAAGGAGUUCAGUAUCCGAUAUACUACACCAGCAAGUCCCUGCUCGACGCUGAGACCAGAAUCCCAAUCCUCGAAGAAUCAAAGGCAUGCAAAGGCUCGACAAAGUCUCAAAGCCUGUCUUAUGGCGAGACAGAAGCCAAGCAUGCCAGGAUCUGCUCGACCACGAGAAGGCGAGCAGACUCCAAAGCAUUCGAAGAAAUUCCUGAGGCAUGCAAAGGCUCACCAAGUCUCAAAGCCUGUCUUAUGACGAGACAGAAGCCAAGCAUGCCAGGAUCUGCUCGACCACAAGAAGGCGAGCAGACUCCAAAGUAUUCGAAGAAAUUCCUGAGGCAUGCAAAGGCUCACCAAGUCUCACAGCCUGUUUUAUGGCGAGACAGAUGCCAAGCGUGCCAGGAUCUGCUCGACCGCGCGAAGGCGAGCCGAAUCCCAGGCAUUGAAGAAUCUUCAAAGGCGUGUGGCAAAACCAUGAGCAAAGUCGGAACCUGCUCGUCUAGACAAAGACAAGCAGAUUCUCAAACGAAAAUCAGCUCAUAAUUACAACACAAGAAACAUUUUACAGCGCCGAAUCCCGAGGGUCUCAUAACCGUCGGUUUGAAAUUCAAAUGGAGGGGGGGAUUUCUGCCACGUCACCUCGUCCGCAAUUAAAUGCGACGUGAUUCUUGGCAGCCUUUUCCAAUCCCACGCGAGCGAGUACUAACGAGUUUCUACUGCUGGUCCACUACAUUACCCAACACCAGAAACUGGGGGACCGGUGUUUGGGAGAAAUACGUCGACGAGACCAAGCAUGGUGAGUAGAUAUCUGAUGGCAGAGUUCUGCGAACCGGUGUGUUCCGUAAAAGCCUGGUGCGCGGGGGAACAGGAGCAGAAAUAUCCUGCUCGUCUAUGAGCACGUCAUCCGCGAGGCAAAUUUCCUGUAAGAGGCAUAAGGCCAUUCCGGCUAGAAGUCGAGAGGCGAGGAGACCCGGUCGACGGCAGUUGGCAAGGCAUGCUCUCCAGCCCGAGAAUCUAGGCACGACAGCCACGCUUUCCCCAGAACCGUGGCGUAACACGCAAGAUCCCACGUUUGCCCAUAAUUAUAACCAGAAGGUGAACAUACGGCAAUUCAGGGUCGGAGACUGGGUACUGAGAAGAGUGAAUCAGAGCACCAAAGAUUCGACUCAAGGAGUUCUGGGACCGAAUUGGGAAGGGCCAUAUAGAGUCAAGCAGAUAGCGGGACCCGGAGCUUACAAGCUGGUUCGCACGGACGGCCACGAGGUGAAACGCCCAUGGAACGCAUCACACCUCCGAAAAUACUUCCAGUAAGACUUGUUCACAUUUGAAAGCUAUUUUUGCUCAUGCUCAUUAUCGUUUAUCUUUCACGCUUUAUGUCCAAACAAUUUCAUGUAAGUCGAAUCCUGCCAUUAAUGGAACGUCGAGGAAUUUCUUUCGCUUGAAACCGAGAAAAUUCCCAAGGCAUGCAAAGGCUCAUCAAAGUCUCAAAGCCUGUCUUAUGGCGAGACAGAAGCCAAGCAUGCCGGGACCUGCUCGGCCACGAGAAGGCGAGCAGAAUCCCAAUCCUCGAAGAAUCAAAGGCAUGCAAAGGCUCGACAAAGUCUCAAAGCCUGUCUUAUGGCGAGACAGAAGCCAAGCAUGCCAGGAUCUGCUCGACCACGAGAAGGCGAGCAGACUCCAAAGCAUUCGAAGAAAUUCCUGAGGCAUGCAAAGGCUCACCAAGUCUCAAAGCCUGUCUUAUGGCGAGACAGAAGCCAAGCAUGCCGGGAUCUGCUCGGCCACGAGAAGGCGAGCAGAAUCCCAAUCCUUGAAGAAUCAAAGGCAUGCAAAGGCUCAUCAAAGUCUCAAAGCCUGUCUUAUGGCGAGACAGAAGCCAAGCAUGCCAGGAUCUGCUCGACCACGAGAAGGCAAGCAGACUCCAAAGCAUUCGAAGAAAUUCCCAAGGCAUGCAGAGGCUCAUCCAAGUCUCAAAGCCUGUCUUAUGGCGAGACAGAAGCCAAGCAUGCCAGGAUCUGCUCGGCCACGAGAAGGCGAGCAGCAUCCCAAUCCUUGAAGAAUCAAAGGCAUGCAAAGGCUCAUCAAAGUCUCAAAGCCUGUCUUAUGGCGAGACAGAAGCCAAGCAUGCCAGGAUCUGCUCGGCCACGAGAAGGCGAGCAGCAUCCCAAUCCUUGAAGAAUCAAAGGCAUGCAAAGGCUCAUCAAAGUCUCAAAGCCUGUCUUAUGGCGAGACAGAAGCCAAGCAUGCCAGGAUCUGCUCGGCCACAAGAAGGCGAGCAGCAUCCCAAUCCUUGAAGAAUCAAAGGCAUGCAAAGGCUCGACAAAGUCUCAAAGCCUGUCUUAUGGCGAGACAGAAGCCAAGCAUGCCAGGAUCUGCUCGACCACGAGAAGGCGAGCAGACUCCAAAGCAUUCGAAGAAAUUCCCAAGGCAUGCAAAGGCUCGACAAAGUCUCAAAGCCUGUCUUAUGGCGAGACAGAAGCCAAGCAUGCCGGGAUCUGCUCGGCCACGAGAAGGCGAGCAGAAUUCCAAUCCUCGAAGAAUCAAAGGCAUGCAAAGGCUCGACAAAGUCUCAAAGCCUGUCUUAUGGCGAGACAGAAGCCAAGCAUGCCAGGAUCUGCUCGACCACGAGAAGGCGAGCAGACUCCAAAGCAUUCGAAGAAAUUCCCAAGGCAUGCAAAGGCUCAUCCAAGUCUCAAAGCCUGUCUUAUGGCGAGACAGAAGCCAAGCAUGCCAGGAUCUGCUCGGCCACGAGAAGGCGAGCAGCAUCCCAAUCCUUGAAGAAUCAAAGGCAUGCAAAGGCUCAUCAAAGUCUCAAAGCCUGUCUUAUGGCGAGACAGAAGCCAAGCAUGCCAGGAUCUGCUCGGCCACGAGAAGGCGAGCAGCAUCCCAAUCCUUGAAGAAUCAAAGGCAUGCAAAGGUUCGACAAAGUCUCAAAGCCUGUCUUAUGGCGAGACAGAAGCCAAACAUGCCAGGAUCUGCUCGACCACGAGAAGGCGAGCAGACUCCAAAGCAUUCGAAGAAAUUCCCAAGGCAUGCAAAGGCUCGACAAAGUCUCAAAGCCUGUCUUAUGGCGAGACAGAAGCCAUGCAUGCCGGGAUCUGCUCGGCCACGAGAAGGUGAGCAGAAUCCCAUUCCUCGAAGAAUCAAAGGCAUGCAAAGGCUCGACAAAGUCUCGAAGCCUGUCUUAUGGCGAGACAGAAGCCAAGCAUGCCAGGAUCUGCUCGACCACGAGAAGGGGAGCAGACUCCAAAGCAUUCGAAGAAAUUCCUGAGGCAUGCAAAGGCUCACCAAGUCUCAAAGCCUGUCUUAUGACGAGACAGAAGCCAAGCAUGCCAGGAUCUGCUCGACCACGAGAAGGCGAGCAGACUCCAAAGCAUUCGAAGAAAUUCCUGAGGCAUGCAAAGGCUCACCAAGUCUCACAGCUUGUUUUAUGGCGAGACAGAUGCCAAGUGUGCCAGGAUCUGCUCGACCGCGCGAAGGCGAGCCGAAUCCCAGGCAUUGAAGAAUCUUCAAAGGCGUGUGGCAAAACCAUGAGCAAAGCCGGAACCUGCUCGUCUAGACAAAGACAAGCAGAUUCUCAAACGAAAAUCAGCUCAUAAUUACAACACAAGAAACAUUUUACAGCGCCGAAUCCCGAGGGUCUCAUAACCGUCGGUUUGAAAUUCAAAUGGAGGGGGGGAUUUCUGCCACGUCACCUCGUCCGCAAUUAAAUGCGACGUGAUUCUUGGCAGCCUUUUCCAAUCCCACGCGAGCGAGUACUAACGAGUUUCUACUGCUGGUCCACUACAUUACCCAACACCAGAAACUGGGGGACCGGUGUUUGGGAGAAAUACGUCGACGAGACCAGGCAUGGUGAGCAGAUAUCUGAUGGCAGAGUUCUGCGAACCGGUGUGUUCCGUAAAAGCCUGGUGCGAGGGGGAACAGGAGCAAAAAUAUCCUGCUCGUCCACGAGCACGUCAUCCGCGAGGCAAAUUUCCUGUAAGAGGCAUAAGGCCAUUCCGGCUAGAGGUCGAGAGGCGAGGAGACCCGGUCGACGGCAGUUGGCAAGGCAUGCUCUCCAGCCCGAGAAUCUAGGCACGACAGCCACGCUUUCCCCAGAACCGUGGCGUAACACGCAAGAUCCCACGUUUGCCCAUAACGCAGCAUAACGCAGCAGUCGGAGUCCCAUACCGUCCCCCAAAAAAGCGGAAACAAGAUCUCACAAAACCACGACAGCCACGCUUUCCCCAGAACCGUGGCGUAACACGCAAGAUCCCACGUUUGCCCAUAACGCGGCAGUCAGAGUCCCGUACCGUCUCGAAGAAAGCGGAAAACUGGGAUUCAAAGGAAGCCUAUAAAAAGGUAGCCAACGAAGGUAAAUGGGUUAGCAUUUUUGAGAUUAGAAAAGAAAUUCUAAAAGAGAGAAAACAACCUAACAUCCAUAAGAUUUGUGGCAAGUGUUCCCCGAACCUUCAUAUCUGACUUGAGCGUCGGAGGGUUUGCGCCGGGAAAACAACCGGCGUACUCUGACCUGUCUGUGUGCGCAGGAACCUCUGGAGAAGAAGCCUUGCGAGGAGACCCCCUGGUCGUGAUGAAGUUGAUCGAGCAGAGAUCCUGGUCGUAGAACGAGGAGAACCGGAAUCUCGCAUCAACACUUCUGUAAAAGGCGGAGUUUGCACCUAAGAAUAAUUUAAUAUACAUGUGAUUAAAUUGUACAAGUUAUGUAAAUUAUAAAAUCAAAUCUUUGAUGUGUGUGUGUGUGUGUGUGUCUGUCUAUAUAUAUAUGAGUUAUGCAAUCAAAUGGAUACCCUGAAAUGUCUUUAAGUUCUUCCUGGUAAAUUGCCUGCAAAGUGUUAAACUCCAACUUAGCGAGCUCAAGUAAAAGGUGGUUCUUGUCCUCUCUUUUCUCAUAAACGUGUAUGAACCACCUUGCCUCCAACAUUGGGACUUUCCAAUGCAGAGGGAGCUCCACUGCACGCUUCGCUUGUUCUGCGACAAAUACAUGCUCUUCCUGAUCAUCACGUCUUUAAGAUGUUUACUGGUAAAUUGCCAGGCCUCCUCCAUGAUGCUUUCUCCUUCUAAGCUGUAAUACGAGGCUUUGUGCAAGCUCAGUAUUCCCUUGAAAUCAUCACAAAUGAAGCCUCCCUGGUCGUCUUUUAAACCAUUGAAAACCUCUGCAGCACUCAACCAAGAAACGUUACAUUCGUCAAAAUUUUUGAUACAUCUAUUAAUUAGAGAGAUAGAGAAAAAAAACUGAUUUGGGUUUCGCCCAUUUCUUUACAUUUAAAAAAAAAAGAAAAAAAAACAGAGAGAUCGAUUCAAGUAUUCAGAUCAUGCAUGUGCAUGAUCUGAAGGAAGCGAAUUAAUGAAAUAUACCUUGAGAAACAGGAUAGCCAUGUUGUCUAAGUAGUCUGAAUUCAAGGGAGGUUACAUACAGAUUUUCUUUUCUCCAAUUAUAAUCUUUAUUAUUGUUGUAGAUAUUAUUCAAUAUGUUCCUAAUCUCAGUCUCAAAACGAUAAGCCAAUCCAAGUCUUUGCAAGUUAUCAAUCAGCUCCAACUGAUCCAGAGGCUCGAUUACAUCUUUAAUCGCUAUCUUCACUUUUCCCUUCAGCUCUUCUGCUCGUCUUUUGCAUGCUUCAUCCUGUACACGCACAGCAUUUAGUUUUUAGUUAUUCAUGGUCCCAAUUUGAAAUGAACAAAGGAAAUUAAUACGUAAUAGUAAUAAUCAAUACCGUAUACUUGCUAUUCAGCCACUGCAAAAAAUCAUGGUCCCAAAUUGAAGGUUGGUAGUUUGCUGAUCUCCUAUCAACUGUCAAAUUAUCAUAUUUGGCGCUGACAAGGCAUUGGACUGGCUUAUUUUUGGCCAUGAUUCUGAUGGCUGCUUUAUUUGUUGUAAGAGGAAGACAUUUGAAACCAUUUACAGAGGUAACCAAGGUUGAGGGAUUAAUGCAAGAAGACAUUGGAUAUACAGAUGUUGUGUAAGCUAGCUUACUGUCAAAUUAUAUAUAUAUAUAGGCAGAGGAGAAGUUCAAGUGAUUUAUUUUUCGUGCUCAUUUUUUCUGAGUUUUGAAAGCGUUUAAUUUUUAAGUCUUAAUAGUACAAAGGUAUUUUAUUCAUUUGGGGGAAAAAAAAAGGAGUACAUCAUACUGUGCGAACGAGGUCAUUAUUGUACCAGAAGACACAUACAUCAUCCAUAUAUUCGGAUGAAUGUUGUAUAAUCUUUAUUUAUUUAUCUUUUUUUUUUCCUGCAUACAAAUUUUUUAAAGAGUCUUUCAAUAAACUACACAAUAAAUGCACGCAGAAAUGACAAGAAAUUCAUAAAUUCAAUUCUACUAAUAAAAGUUCUAUUUAUUACAUUAAAAUCUUGUUUUAUGUAGAAAUAAGAAUAUACAAAGUAAAUUUAAGGGAAAAAAAAGGCAUACAAAGUUGCAAACAAUAUCUUAAUGUUGAGCACUAACAUCAAAAUUCUAUCUGUUACAGUUAUAAAGUACUUUUGCGGAAAACAAAUUAAUAAAUUUCAAAGUGAUUAUCAACAAAAAGUUGAUUGGAGAUAAUGGAUUUUAAUAUAUUGUAGAUUGUGAUCAUUUGUAAUAAUUUCAAAAAACUUCCAUUUAACAGCGGUUGGUGAAUGGGUGUUGUAAAAUAAUUUUAAUAUUUGACAACAAGCGAAAGAAUGUUGUUAAAAACUCUUCAAUAGAUGUUCAAUCUCACAACGUUCUACAAAAGCGCGUUGUGAAAAAAUUCUAAUAAUUGACAACUAGUGUAAAAUCGUUAUAAAUUUUUAAUCCCAUUCAAUCCAUGAAUUAGUAAAAUUAAUCUAAAUUCAAUUCAUAAUUCUGCAGAUUAGAAGUGGAUUUGAUACAAUCCAUAUUCAUUCCACUUUUGCGAAUUCGAUACGGAUUUAAAAAAAAAUUCUUUCUAUUCAAUUCAUAAAAUAAUUAAAUAAAAAUUUUAAUUAUAAAAAUAAUUUUACUGCAUGCCAAUCAAAUUCAAAUUUAAACAAGAUCUAAAUAAAUCAAUAGUUUAAAUACGGGUUUAGGAAUGCUAUGUUAAUAGGGUCUUUAUACCGCCACCCCAACAUCUAUUAAAUCAAUCAACAUACGUUUUGAAACAAAUAUAAUCCGGAAGCCAUAUACCAUUUCAGCUUUACUCCCUAUUCUCUCUUAAAUAAAACUAUGAAAACACUGGAGUAAUUGGUUUCAGCUUCGGUGUAGGAUAGGUUGGAGGUGAUGACACGCGACGACAGCUACUGAAAGACUAUUCGUUUUUUAAGAUGCCAUUCAAAGUUUCGAACUUUAGCACACCAAAAUAAAAAAUCCUGAUGUUUCUGGAUCAGUGGAUGAAAAUCAACUUAAGUUUUAGAAUUAAAUCAAUACAAAAGUUGAAAUUUGAAAGCUUAUAUAAUUAAUUGUUGUCAACGUCCACCCUAACUAGAUUUUAACCUAUUUACUAGUAGUAUAACAUUUUUAAAUUUUAAAUUCUUUAAAUUAUAUACACACACGGAUUUGCUGAUUUUCAGGGAUUUGGAGAAGCAAGUCCAUUUCAUCAAUUGUCGAUUUUAAAAUUUUUCAAUCCAUCUAAUCUGUCAAUUCAGCUCUUCUGCUCGUCUUUUGUAUGUUUCAUCCUGUACACGCACAGCAUUUUGUUUUUAGCUAUUCAUGGUGCCAAUUUGAAAUGAACAAAGGAAAUUAAUAUGUAAUAAUAAUAAUAUUGAAUACCGUAUAGUUGCUAUUCAAUGACUGCAAAAAAUCAUGGUCCCAAAUUGAAGGUUGGUAGUUUGCUGAUCUCCUAUCAACUGUCAAAUUAUCAUAUUUGGCGCUGACAAGGCAUUGGACCGGCUUAUUUUUUGCCAUGAUUCUGAUGGCUGCUUUAUUUGUUGCAAGAGGAAGACAUUUGAAACCAUUUACAGAGGUAACCAAGGUUAAGGGAUUAAUGGAAGAAGACAUUGGAUAUACAGAUGUAGUGUAAGCUAGCUUACAGUUAUACUUGGCAAAGAUUCUCAAAUUAUUCUAUGGUUUGUGGUGAUGUUCGAGGUUAUAUAUAGGCAGAGGAGAAGUUCAUGUGAUUUAUUUUUCUCACUCAUUUUUUCUGAGGUUUGAAAGCGUUUAAUUUUUAAGUUUAAUAGUACAAAGGUGUUUUAUUCAUUUGGGGGGACCCACAAAGGAGUACAUCAUACUGUGCGAACGAGGUCAGUAUUGUGCCAGAAGACACAUACAUCAUCCAUACAUUCGGAUGAAUGUUGUAUAAUCUUUAUUUAUUUAUCUUUUUUUUUCCUGCCUACAAAUUUUUUAAAGAGUCUUUCAAUAAACUACACAAUAAAUGCACGCAGAAAUGACAAGAAAUUCAUAAAUUCAAUUCUACUAAUAAAAAUUCUAUUUAUUACAUUAAAAUCUUAUUUUAUGUAGAAAUAAGAAUAUAAAAAGUAAAUUUAAGGAAAAAAAGGCGGAUUCACCGAAGUUGCAACAGUUGCAACGUACCAGGAUUUUUGUCUUUUUGUGACUUCAGCUCUUCACCGUCCGAUUUAAUGAAAAAGCAGCGUCUAUGGUAAGGAUGUGUCUGUUUGGUAAUUAACGUUACGGUCCCUAUUUUUUUGAAAAUUCAACAAAGUUAAAGAGUUACAGCUUUUAAUGCACAAGUCUGAAUUAUCUCAAAAUUGUAAAUAAUUAGACAAUUAAAAUUAGGAGAAAUUUCAUUAACAUUUUCAUUGUUAAAAAUAAAAAAUAAAUAAAUUUAAUUUGUGAAUAAAAUUAAAAUUUAAAAUAUUAAAAAUUAUUUCAAAAAUCAUUUCCAAUUUCUUCAUCUUAUCCAUCUCAUGUGCCAUGAAGUGGAACCGAAAGUAAUUACAACAAAUAAUCAUAGAAUGAAAUAAUAGAUAUCGUCAAUUUAAGUUAGUAAAGCAUUAACCAAUUACUCCUUUCGUUAGCCUAAACCAUUAAUUUGGUUUAGUACCUAGAGGCUGGAACUUCAACAUAAAAUAAUUAAAAAAAUGUAAUUCCAGAUUAUUAAUUUAAGUUUCAACCUAAAUUGUAGUGAAAUUUCCCAGUUAUUACUAUUUUUUAUGAUGUUAUAUUAGUAUGUCAAUAUUUAAUAUUCAAAAUAGUAAGAAUAUGUUUAACAUAUUAACAUUUACAAAAGAGUAGAAGAAUAAAAUUCAUAAUUAUGAUACUUCAAUUCUAAUCAAAUUAUAUUGAUAUGCAUUAAUUCAAUAAGCCUAUACACCUAAAUAAGCUAAAUACUAGGAGCUUUACUAUUCCUAAGUUAUACAUUGUAGAUUAUUAUAACAGUCAUAGAUUAUUAUAACUUUUUUAAUUAACAUAACAUUCUCAAACAGUUAAUUAAAACUCUUUUGCCAAUUAAAGUUGGUAGAAAAAAUCGAAUCCCAAAUCCCGUACCAAAUGGUACAUGAUACGGUAUAUGACUUAAAAAAUAUUUAAAAUAAAUAGAAAUUUGAGAUUAAAUUUAUUCUCAUUAAAACUCGGGACUAGUCAGGACUUCAAUUGGGAUCCCGAUGGAAUCCUAAUUAUACCAAAUUAUUUUAAUUUUCUAAUUUAAUUAAAAUGUUAAAAAAAUCAUGCACAGCUUUUAGCUUUUAGUUAUACACGAUUGCAGAGAAUUCAUGGUCCCAAUUUGAAAUGAACAAAUUAAAUUAAUGUGUAAUAAUAAUAAUGAAUACCGUAUAGUCGCUAUUCAAUGACUGCAAAAAAUAAUGGUCCCAAAUUGAAGAUUGGUAGUUUGCUAAUCUCCUGUCACCUGUUAAAUUAUAAUAUUUGGCGCUGACAAGGCAUGGGACUGGCUUAUUUUUGGCAAUGAUUCUGAUGGCUGCUUUAUUUGUUGCAAGAGGAAGACAUUUGAAACCAUUUACAGUGGUAAACAAGGUUGAGGGAUUAAUGCAAGAAGACAUUGGAUAUACAGAUGUAGAGUAAGCUAGCUUACAGUUAUACUUGGCAAAGAUAUUUUUCUCCAUUUCCUUUGAGAUCAAUUUCAAAACGAAAGAGUUCAGCAGCUUUGCACGAAAACUCUGGAACACUAGUGAUUAAGCACUUGCGAUUAAACAAUUGUUUGUUAAUGUUUACACAGUGCGACAGAGGAGCCUGCCACCUCACUACACGUUAGUGUAGCACAUGAGAAACCUCCGUUUGAAAAAUUAGACUAGUUGGUAGCGGCCGUGCCCGGGAAGCCUCUCUUCUUUGACACAAUAUGACACAAAUUAUUAACAAUCAAAUCACAAUUUUGAUAAGUUUCGUGAAAUAUAAAAAUAAUAGAAAUACAGAUGAUUAAAAAUUUGUUAAAG